UUUUCGUUUCCACGUCUUCUGAAUUUCUAAAGGCGUCGUGCGUUUUCGUUUCUCCCUUUAAAGUUUUCUUCAACCACCCAAUCCUCAUUCCUCAAUCAAGUAAGAACUGUUUCAGUCCAAUCUUACGCCACCAAAUCUCGCUUCCACCACCCACCCAGUCCCACUGAAUCCGCCGCCAAACCCACCUUCCACCUCCAUCAAACUCAAACUCGCGACACCGUUCCUUCUUCUUCAGCCGAGCAACCGCUACACUGCUUCCUCUUUUUCAGCCAAACCACCCUCCCUGUCCUUCGACCAAAUCCAUCUUCAGGUAACUACUGACUUCGAUUGAACCUGUUUUAUCUGGAUUUUCAUAGGAUUAUUGUGUUUCAGUUCUUCUAUAUGGGGUUUGGAAAUCUAAUCAAUUUUCGCUCAAGCUCAUGCUUUCACAGUUCUAUGCCAUUUGUUCUUUCCAUUUCAGGCGGUGAUGAGUGACGACCUUUGGAAGCGUUAUCUUCUUCGACAUUGGUAUAAACCCUUAGUUAUAUGCCUUAUUUCUGCAUUUUGAUUGCUGAUUUCGUAUUGCAGUGACUGAUGGAGAGAAAGUGGAGUAAUGAGGGUUUGGUGGUUCUUGAACAUUGGGGUUUGAUUAUUGGUUGUUUAAGUGAGGAACAGAACAAGUGAUAGUGGCAGGUUUGGUGGUGAGAAGGGGCUUGCCAUGGAGGGGAAAAGAAAGGAAAGGAGUUUGACAAUCUCACCUCAUUCAACUCUCCGUCUUAUCCCAUCAAGGAGUUUUGUUCAAGUUCAUGCUUCCACCUCUUUUAAUUGCGUCGCCCAUUUUUCCCUUUAUGGCCUCCGUUUUCCACCUCCUUCUCAGAUAGAGAGCUCGAUCGGUUGUCAAAGGAGACACCUUCGCAGCCGUUUAGCACUCAGCAGCGUGAAGGAGAUGGAUCCAAGGGAUCUCUUCCGACAGCGGAGUGACCAGGUUAUUCCCGAUUUCGCCGUUUCUGCUUUAAUUCCGGCUCUACGCUGCACUGAUUUCGCCCAACAUAUAUGCUUGAACAGGUUUUGUUUGAUUGUUUGGUGUCUGAUAGUUUCUGGGGGCAGGAUUGGAUCCUCUUUUUAUAUAGACUGAAUUUGAUUUGAAUCAAUUUCCUUCUUGGCAGAUUUGCUGCUUCACUAAUCUGUGUUAUGUUGAACCACUCUGCUACAAAUGAUGAACACAAUGGAUAGGAUUGUUGAGGAUCCCUUUCAUUAUAGCAGCACUUCACUUUUGAAGGCUAAGGAAAUAGAAGUAAUUCAAACAUGUAUUCAGAAUGAAAGGAAACAACAAGGGAGCAAGAGUUUUUGCCAGUUGUUUCAAGCAUUGUCCAUACCCAGAUGAAAAGCAUUGAAAAGAGUUGUAAUAUGUGCUGGAUUAGAGCCUUUGCAAGUGAAGUUUUGGUUUCAAAAAAGAAUUUGGUUCAAGCACAGCCUCUACAGCCAAGUUGAGUGAAUUCUUGAAUGUACCCUCCUUUCCUUCCAGAGGUCUAAAUGAGUGCCUAUGUAUGGCUUGGUUUUACUCACAAGGAUGCUGAUUUGUGUCUUUCCCUUUUGGGUUAAAGAGAAGCGUGGUUCCUUCGAGCUUCCAUGACUAAGAUCUUGCACCACUGAAUAGGAAUGGAACCUUUUCGAUUCGAUGGUGUGUUCUUCUUACAUUGCUACAAAGGUGAGGACUUGGAGCGACAAUGGGAUGAAGAAGCUGAAGCUAAUGCUUGCGAGGAUGAGUUUCUGAAUCAAGUUUCAUUGCAGCGAGUUGAUUCUCAGCUCCUCUAAUGUGAUGACUUCUCUCACCUCUGGUGAAUGGCUCGAUUACAUAUUUGUCACCUCGCAAUCUUCUCCGUCGUUGUAUUUGUGAGGCGGUGUGCCUGUGAUGAAUCAACGAGGCUUGAUGAGCUCGAGGGCGAUCUUCAGAUACCUUCAGAUGUAGAAAACCAAUGCUUUCAAGAGUGCACCUUUUUUCUUGGUGAGUCUGUUGCUCAGUCCCUCGCAUGCUGUGGCUGCUUUGAGCUGUGAAGAUUGCAAAUUAGAAAGAGUGUGGCUUCUCAGCUUGCUCAUCAAAAAGUGGUUGUGGUUGGGUAGCUUUACUUCUCUAGCUUAAAGUGGACUUCCUUUCCCUUUUGUCUUUGAUGUAGAACCACUUUGCAAAGUAUUUGAAUGGUUUGAGAUAUGUUUUUCUUCUUUACAAUGAUGGCACUCAUGAAUGAGGGAUGUUUAUUUUUA